rnacentral:snRNA from 1 species
AUGGCUUCUCGGCCUUUUGGCUAAGAUCAAGUGUAGUAUCCAUUCUUAUCAGUUUAAAAUCAGGUACUUAUUAAAAUACCUCAUAGCAACUUUAAUUACGUCAGCACGUCACUUUUGCUGUGCACACUGUCUGGGCUUUGGGGUGGGCAGAUCUGGGGACCUCCC